rnacentral:rRNA from 1 species
UACGUAGGGGGCAAGCGUUGUCCGGAAUCAUUGGGCGUAAAGAGCGUGUAGGCGGCUUGGUAAGUCUGCUGUGAAAGUCCAGGGCUCAACCCUGGAAAGCCGGUGGAAACUGUCAAGCUAGAGUCCGGAAGAGGCGAGUGGAAUUCCUGGUGUAGCGGUGAAAUGCGCAGAUAUCAGGAGGAACACCAAUGGCGAAGGCAGCUCGCUGGGACGGUACUGACGCUGAGACGCGAAAGCGUGGGGAGCAAACAGGAUUAGAAACCCUCGUAGUCC